AUUUCGAUUGGCUGUUUACGGCCACACCGCCACAUCCAUUUCUUUUCCUUCGCAACGCAGCUGUAGUCAAGUUCACUUUUCUUGCGCUCCUGAAAAUAAUUAAUAUAUUAAUAAAAUGAUUUUGAGGUAUUGGUGAACAUAGUAAAAGCCGCGGCUUGGAAAAUGAAUUGAAAAUGUAUUGCACCUGGCUGUGAUGCACUGAAAAACCAUGCGCACGUGUUGCCUGGAUUAGUAAGCAGGGAAUAUCCACGUGUUGGCGCAUCUUUGGCCUGUUCACCAUGCUUGAGUUGCGGUUGCAGACCACAGGCGAGUGAGGGGUUAUCUAUGGAAAGAGGUG